AGAGUUUGAUCAUGGCUCAGGACGAACGCUGGCGGCGUGCUUAAUACAUGCAAGUCGAGCGAGGCCUUGGAAUUGGAGUCCUUCGGGAUGAAGAGUCCUUGGCCUAGCGGCGGACGGGUGAGUAACGCGUGGGCAACCUACCCCAAAGUCCGGGAUAACAGUGGGAAACCGCUGCUAAUACCGGAUGGCUUUACCUGAGGGCAUCCUUGGGUAAAGAAAGGUUACGCUUUGGGAUGGGCCCGCGUCCCAUUAGCUAGUUGGUGAGGUAACGGCUCACCAAGGCCACGAUGGGUAGCCGGCCUGAGAGGGUGAACGGCCACACUGGGACUGAGACACGGCCCAGACUCCUACGGGAGGCAGCAGUAGGGAAUAUUGCGCAAUGGGCGGAAGCCUGACGCAGCGACGCCGCGUGAGCGAAGAAGGCCUUCGGGUCGUAAAGCUCUGUCCUUGGGGAAGAAGGCGAAAGCUUGACGGUACCCAAGAAGAAAGCCCCGGCUAACUACGUGCCAGCAGCCGCGGUAAUACGUAGGGGGCGAGCGUUGUCCGGAAUUACCGGGCGUAAAGGGUGCGUAGGCGGCCUUUUAAGUCAGAUGUGAAAGGCUGCGGCUUAACCGCAGGACUGCAUUUGAAACUGGAAGGCUUGAGUGUCGGAGAGGGUAGUGGAAUUCCCAGUGUAGCGGUGAAAUGCGUAGAUAUUGGGAGGAACACCAGUGGCGAAGGCGACUACCUGGACGAUAACUGACGCUGAGGCACGAAAGCUAGGGGAGCAAACAGGAUUAGAUACCCUGGUAGUCCUAGCCGUAAACGAUGGGUACUAGGUGUAGGUGGUUUCGAUACCAUCUGUGCCGCAGUUAACGCAAUAAGUACCCCGCCUGGGGAGUACGGUCGCAAGACUGAAACUCAAAUGAAUUGACGG
rnacentral:rRNA from 1 species